rnacentral:rRNA from 1 species
UGGGGAAUUUUGGACAAUGGGCGAAAGCCUGAUCCAGCCAUGCCGCGUGAGUGAAGAAGGCCUUCGGGUUGUAAAGCUCUUUUAGUCGGAAAGAAAGAGUUGCAAUGAAUAAUUGUGAUUUAUGACGGUACCGACAGAAAAAGCACCGGCUAACUACGUGCCAGCAGCCGCGGUAAUACGUAGGGUGCGAGCGUUAAUCGGAAUUACUGGGCGUAAAGGGUGCGCAGGCGGUCUUGCAAGUCAGAUGUGAAAGCCCCGGGCUUAACCUGGGAAUUGCGUUUGAAACUACAAGGCUAGAGUGCAGCAGAGGGGAGUGGAAUUCCAUGUGUAGCAGUGAAAUGCGUAGAGAUGUGGAAGAACACCGAUGGCGAAGGCAGCUCCCUGGGUUGACACUGACGCUCA